AAGCAGCGGUGAUGAUGAUGACAUAUUGUCAGUAUACUGAACAAAACAUGUGGGUUUUAAGUCACUACCUCAUCUGAGCUGCAA